rnacentral:rRNA from 1 species
GAUGAACGCUGGCGGCGUGCCUAAUACAUGCAAGUCGAGCGAACGGACGAGAAGCUGGCUUCUCUGAUGUUAGCGGCGGACGGGAGAGUAACACGUGGAUAACCUAACUAUAAGAAUGGGAUAACUUCGGGAAACAGGAGCUAAUACCGGAUAAUAUUUUGAACCGCAUGGUUCAAAAGUUAAAGACGGUCGUGCUGUCACUUAUAGAUGGAUCCGCGCUGGAUUAGCUAGUUGGCACGGUAACGGCUUACCAAGGCAACGAUGCAUAGCCGACCUGAGAGCGUGAUCGGCUACACUGGAACUGAGGCACGUCCCAGACUCCUACGCGAGGCCGCAGUAGAGAAUCUUCCGCAAUGGGGGAAAGCCUGACGGAGCAACGCCGCGUGAGUGAUGAUGGUCUUCUGCUGGUAAAGCUCUGUUAUUCGUGGAGAACAUAUGUGUAUUUACCUGUGAAGAUCUUGACGGUACCUAAUGAGAAAGCCCCGGCUAACUCCGUG